rnacentral:rRNA from 1 species
GGUUAAGCGACUAAGCGUACACGGUGGAUGCCCUGGCAGUCAGAGGCGAUGAAGGACGUGCUAAUCUGCGAUAAGCGCCGGUAAGGUGAUAUGAACCGUUAUAACCGGCGAUUUCCGAAUGGGGAAACCCAGUGUGACUCGUCACACUAUCAUUAACUGAAUCCAUAGGUUAAUGAGGCGAACCGGGGGAACUGAAACAUCUAAGUACCCCGAGGAAAAGAAAUCAACCGAGAUUCCCCCAGUAGCGGCGAGCGAACGGGGAGGAGCCCAGAGCCUGAAUCAGCAUGUGUGUUAGUGGAAGCGUCUGGAAAGGCGCGCGAUACAGGGUGACAGCCCCGUACACAAAAGCGCAUGUGCUGUGAGCUCGAUGAGUAGGGCGGGACACGUGGUAUCCUGUCUGAAUAUGGGGGGACCAUCCUCCAAGGCUAAAUACUCCUGACUGACCGAUAGUGAACCAGUACCGUGAGGGAAAGGCGAAAAGAACCCCGGCGAGGGGAGUGAAACAGAACCUGAAACCGUGUACGUACAAGCAGUGGGAGCACCCUUCGGGGUGUGACUGCGUACCUUUUGUAUAAUGGGUCAGCGACUUAUAUUCUGUAGCAAGGUUAACCGAAUAGGGGAGCCGGAGGGAAACCGAGUCUUAAUUGGGCGUUAAGUUGCAGGGUAUAGACCCGAAACCCGGUGAUCUAGCCAUGGGCAGGUUGAAGGUUGGGUAACACUAACUGGAGGACCGAACCGACUAAUGUUGAAAAAUUAGCGGAUGACCUGUGGCUGGGGGUGAAAGGCCAAUCAAACCGGGAGAUAGCUGGUUCUCCCCGAAAGCUAUUUAGGUAGCGCCUCGUGAAUUCAUCUCCGGGGGUAGAGCACUGUUUCGGCUAGGGGGCCAUCCCGGCUUACCAACCCGAUGCAAACUGCGAAUACCGGAGAAUGUUAUCACGGGAGACACACGGCGGGUGCUAACGUCCGUCGUGAAGAGGGAAACAACCCAGACCGCCAGCUAAGGUCCCAAAGUCAUGGUUAAGUGGGAAACGAUGUGGGAAGGCCCAGACAGCCAGGAUGUUGGCUUAGAAGCAGCCAUCAUUUAAAGAAAGCGUAAUAGCUCACUGGUCGAGUCGGCCUGCGCGGAAGAUGUAACGGGGCUAAACCAUGCACCGAAGCUGCGGCAGCGACACUGUGUGUUGUUGGGUAGGGGAGCGUUCUGUAAGCCUGCGAAGGUGGCCUGUGAGGGUUGCUGGAGGUAUCAGAAGUGCGAAUGCUGACAUAAGUAACGAUAAAGCGGGUGAAAAGCCCGCUCGCCGGAAGACCAAGGGUUCCUGUCCAACGUUAAUCGGGGCAGGGUGAGUCGACCCCUAAGGCGAGGCCGAAAGGCGUAGUCGAUGGGAAACGGGUUAAUAUUCCCGUACUUGGUGUUACUGCGAAGGGGGGACGGAGAAGGCUAUGUUGGCCGGGCGACGGUUGUCCCGGUUUAAGCGUGUAGGUGUGUGUUCCAGGUAAAUCCGGUUCACUUUAACACUGAGGCGUGACGACGAGGCACUACGGUGCUGAAGCAACAAAUGCCCUGCUUCCAGGAAAAGCCUCUAAGCAUCAGGUAACAUCAAAUCGUACCCCAAACCGACACAGGUGGUCAGGUAGAGAAUACCAAGGCGCUUGAGAGAACUCGGGUGAAGGAACUAGGCAAAAUGGUGCCGUAACUUCGGGAGAAGGCACGCUGACAUGUAGGUGAAGUGAUUUACUCAUGGAGCUGAAGUCAGUCGAAGAUACCAGCUGGCUGCAACUGUUUAUUAAAAACACAGCACUGUGCAAACACGAAAGUGGACGUAUACGGUGUGACGCCUGCCCGGUGCCGGAAGGUUAAUUGAUGGGGUCAGCGCAAGCGAAGCUCCUGAUCGAAGCCCCGGUAAACGGCGGCCGUAACUAUAACGGUCCUAAGGUAGCGAAAUUCCUUGUCGGGUAAGUUCCGACCUGCACGAAUGGCGUAAUGAUGGCCAGGCUGUCUCCACCCGAGACUCAGUGAAAUUGAACUCGCUGUGAAGAUGCAGUGUACCCGCGGCAAGACGGAAAGACCCCGUGAACCUUUACUAUAGCUUGACACUGAACAUUGAGCCUUGAUGUGUAGGAUAGGUGGGAGGCUUUGAAGUGUGGACGCCAGUCUGCAUGGAGCCGACCUUGAAAUACCACCCUUUAAUGUUUGAUGUUCUAACGUGGACCCGUAAUCCGGGUUGCGGACAGUGUCUGGUGGGUAGUUUGACUGGGGCGGUCUCCUCCUAAAGAGUAACGGAGGAGCACGAAGGUUGGCUAAUCCUGGUCGGACAUCAGGAGGUUAGUGCAAUGGCAUAAGCCAGCUUGACUGCGAGCGUGACGGCGCGAGCAGGUGCGAAAGCAGGUCAUAGUGAUCCGGUGGUUCUGAAUGGAAGGGCCAUCGCUCAACGGAUAAAAGGUACUCCGGGGAUAACAGGCUGAUACCGCCCAAGAGUUCAUAUCGACGGCGGUGUUUGGCACCUCGAUGUCGGCUCAUCACAUCCUGGGGCUGAAGUAGGUCCCAAGGGUAUGGCUGUUCGCCAUUUAAAGUGGUACGCGAGCUGGGUUUAGAACGUCGUGAGACAGUUCGGUCCCUAUCUGCCGUGGGCGCUGGAGAACUGAGGGGGGCUGCUCCUAGUACGAGAGGACCGGAGUGGACGCAUCACUGGUGUUCGGGUUGUCAUGCCAAUGGCACUGCCCGGUAGCUAAAUGCGGAAGAGAUAAGUGCUGAAAGCAUCUAAGCACGAAACUUGCCCCGAGAUGAGUUCUCCCUGAGACUUAAAGUCUCCUGAAGGAACGUUGAAGACGACGACGUUGAUAGGCCGGGUGUGUAAGCGCAGCGAUGCGUUGAGCUAACCGGUACUAAUGAACCGUGAGGCUUAACCUU